rnacentral:rRNA from 1 species
GACGAACGCUGGCGGCGUGCUUAACACAUGCAAGUCGAACGGAAAGGCCCUGCUUUUGUGGGGUGCUAGAGUGGCGAACGGGUGAGUAACACGUGAGUAACCUGCCCUUGACUUUGGGAUAACUGCAGGAAACUGGGGCUAAUACCGGAGAGGAGCUCCUGCUGCAUGGUGGGGGUUGGAAAGUUUCGGCGGAUGGGGAUGGACUCGCGGCUUAUCAGCUUGUUGGGGGGGGAGUGGCUUACCAAGGCAUUGACGGGUAGCCGGCCUGAGAGGGUGACCGGCCACAUUGGGACUGAGAUACGGCCCAGACUGCUACGGGAGGCAGCAGUGGGGAAUAUUGCACAAUGGGCGGAAGCCUGAUGCAGCAACGCCGCGUGCGGGAUGACGGCUUUCGGGUUGUAAACCGCUUUCGCCUGUGACGAAGCGUGAGUGACGGUAAUGGGUAAAGAAGCACCGGCUAACUACGUG